GCUUAACACAUGCAAGUCGAGCGGUAAGGCCCUUCGGGGUACACGAGCGGCGAACGGGUGAGUAACACGUGGGUGAUCUGCCUCGUACUCUGGGAUAAGCCUGGGAAACUGGGUCUAAUACCGGAUAUGACCACGAGUCGCAUGGUUUGUGGUGGAAAGAUUUAUCGGUGCGAGAUGGGCCCGCGGCCUAUCAGCUUGUUGGUGGGGUAAUGGCCUACCAAGGCGACGACGGGUAGCCGGCCUGAGAGGGCGACCGGCCACACUGGGACUGAGACACGGCCCAGACUCCUACGGGAGGCAGCAGUGGGGAAUAUUGCACAAUGGGCGGAAGCCUGAUGCAGCGACGCCGCGUGAGGGAUGACGGCCUUCGGGUUGUAAACCUCUUUCGACAGGGACGAAGCGUGAGUGACGGUACCUGUAGAAGAAGCACCGGCCAACUACGUGCCAGCAGCCGCGGUAAUACGUAGGGUGCGAGCGUUGUCCGGAAUUACUGGGCGUAAAGAGCUUGUAGGCGGUUCGUCGCGUCGAUCGUGAAAACGCAGCGCUCAACGGUGCGCUUGCGGUCGAUACGGGCGGACUAGAGUACUGCAGGGGAGACUGGAAUUC
rnacentral:rRNA from 1 species